rnacentral:rRNA from 1 species
UGAGGAACAUGACCUUCGGCGGGGGAGUAGCCGGCCCAACGGCCGGGUAAUACCGCGUACGACCACUCGGGGACAUCCCUAGGUGGUGAAAGCAGCAAUGCGCCGAUGGAGUGUCUCGCCGCCUAUCAGCUAGUUGGUGAGGUAACGGCUCACCAAGGCGACGACGGGUAGCUGGUCUGAGAGGAUGGCCAGCCACAUUGGGACUGAGACACGGCCCAGACUCCUACGGGAGCAG